rnacentral:rRNA from 1 species
GUAGGGAAUCUUCCACAAUGGACGCAAGUCUGAUGGAGCAACGCCGCGUGAGUGAAGAAGGCUUUCGGGUCGUAAAACUCUGUUAUUGAAGAAGAACGUGUGUGACAGUAACUGGUCAUGCAGUGACGGUAUUCAAUCAGAAAGUCACGGCUAACUACGUGCCAGCAGCCGCGGUAAUACGUAGGUGGCAAGCGUUGUCCGGAUUUAUUGGGCGUAAAGCGAGUGCAGGCGGUCUUUUAAGUCUGAUGUGAAAGCCUUCGGCUUA